rnacentral:rRNA from 1 species
UACGUAGGGUGCGAGCGUUUGUCCGGAAUUAUUGGGCGUAAAGAGCUCGUAGGCGGUGUGUCGCGUCGGCCGUGAAAACCUGGGGGUUUAACUCUGGGCGUGCGGUCGAUACGGGCAUCACUAGAGUUCGGCAGGGGGAGACUGGAAUUCCUGGUGUAGCGGUGAAAUGCGCAGAUAUCAGGAGGAACACCGGUGGCGAAGGCGGGUCUCUGGGCCGAUACUGACGCUGAGGAGCGAAAGCAUGGGUAGCGAACAGG